rnacentral:rRNA from 1 species
GCUAUUGGAGUUCGAUUAAGCCAUGCGAGUCGCGAGAAAUUAGAUUCUCGGCGUACCGCUCAGUAACACGUGGGUAACCUGCCCUAUGCUGGAUAAUAACCUCGGGAAACUGAGUAUAAUGAUCCAUAGUUCACUACGCCUGGAACGGUGAGUGGAUGAAAGCUCCGGCGGCAUAGGAUGGGCCUGCGGCGUAUCAGGUAGUAGGGGGUGUAACGUACCCUCUAGCCCUCUACGCGUACGGGUGUUGGGAGACAUAGCCCGGAGAUGGAUUCUGAGACACGAAUCCAGACCCUACGGGGUGCAGCAGGCGCGAAAACUUGGCAAUGCGAGAAAUCGUGACCAGGGAACUCCAAGUGCAUCGGGUAAGACCGGUGCUUUUCUUGACUCUAAAUAGGUCUUGGAAUAAGGGGUGGGUAAGGACGGUGCCAGCCGCCGCGGUAAUACCGGCGCCUCAAGUGGUAGUCGCUUUUAUUGGGCCUAAAACGUCCGUAGCCGGUCUGAUACAUUCGUGGGUAAAUCAACCAGCUCAACUGGUUGAAUUCUGCGAGGACGGUCAGACUUGGGACCGGGAGAGGUGUGGGGUACGCUCAGGGUAGGGGUAAAAUCCUGUCAUCCUGAGCGGACCACCUGUUGCGAAGGCGCCACACUAGAACGGAUCCGACGGUCAGGGACGAAGCCUAGGGGCACGAACCGGAUUAGAUACCCGGGUAGUCCUAGGUGUAAACGCUGUGGACUUGAUGUUGGGGGUGCUCCGAGCACUCUCAGUGUCGAAGCGAGGGUGAUAAGUCCACUGCCUGGGAGGUACGGUCGCAAGGCUGAAACUUAAAGGAAUUGGCGGGGGAGCACCGC